UUUUCUUUUUUAGGAGUUUCCUCAAUUUGCUGCUCACUGCAGAGCAAAUGGGUGGAGCUAGAUGUCCAGUGGGGAGGAGCUACACGGAUGUCCAGUGAGGAGGAGCUACAAAGCGCAGAGGGCACCAUUUGGAAAGAUGGCGGAUGGUGACGGUCACAGACAAUUCGACAAGCAUCAGACAAUACUGAAUAAAGGACACGGUCCCCUUCUCUCUGUUGAGAAAUGCACAAUCUGCUGCAGAAAAUAUCACUGUGCCUACUGCAAACUGGUGUAUAACCAUUUAAAUGAGCUACAAAAUCAUGUAGUAGAUCAUGUUCGAGUUGCAGUUCAUCAUAAAGGAAUGUGCGUGAAUUAUUAUUAUGUCAUCGUAAAGUGCAAUCAGGACUGCAGACAAGCAGCACAUUUUCACUGCUGCUACUGCACAU